rnacentral:rRNA from 1 species
GUAAUAGCUCACUGGUCGAGUGAAGUUGCGCGGAAAAUUACCGGGGCUAAGUUAUACACCGAAAUUGCGGAUUCAUUAAGAAAUUAAUGAGUGGUAGAGGAGCGUUCUAUACAGGAUGAAGUAUGAUCGAGAGGACAUAUGGACAGUAUAGAAGAGAGAAUGCCGGAAUGAGUAGCGAGAGCAAAGUGAGAAUCUUUGCCGUCGAAAAUCUAAGGUUUCCUGGGGAAGGUUCGUCCGCCCAGGGUAAGUCGGGACCUAAGGUGAGGCCGAAGGGCGUAGCCGAUGGAUAGCAGGUUAAGAUUCCUGCACCAGUAUACAUGUAUAAUGCAUAAGAGGACACAUUUGAAGAAGAUGAGCGAGGAAGAGGAAAAACUCGUAUGGCAACAUAUAGUGAAAUAAAGUAACGAAUCAUCAAGAGGCAAGUGGCGAGAAAAGUCUUAUGUAGUUGUGUAGACUGCCCGUACCGCAAACCGACACAGGUAGAUGAGGAGAGGAUCCUAAGACGAGCGGGAGAAGCAUUGUUAAGGAACUCGGCAAAUUGACCCCGUAACUUAGGGAUAAGGGGUGCUGGUGUAAAAACCAGUCGCAGUAAAUAGGCCCAAGCAACUGUUUAACAAAAACACAGGUUUCUGCUAAAUCGCAAGAUGAAGUAUAGGAGCUGACUCCUGCCCAGUGCUGGAAGGUUAAGGGGAAAGGUUAAGAAUAAUUCAUUAUAUCUGAAGCUUUGAACUCAAGCCCCAGUGAACGGCGGCCGUAACUAUAACGGUCCUAAGGUAGCGAAAUUCCUUGUCAGGUAAGUUCUGACCCGCACGAAAGGUGUAAUGAUUUGGGCACUGUCUCAACAAUGUACCCGGCGAAAUUGUAGUACUAGUGAAGAUGCUAGUUACCUGCGACAAGACGGAAAGACCCCAUGGAGCUUUACUAUAGCCUGAUAUUGGGCUUUGGUAUCUUAUGUACAGGAUAGGUGGGAGACUAUGAGAUUAAGACGCAAGUCUUAAAGGAGUCAACCUUGGAAUACCACCCUUAAGAUAUUAGAGUUCUAACUUGUGAUCAUAAACUGGUCAGAGGACAUUGUCAGGUGGGUAGUUUGACUGGGGCGGUCACCUCCUAAAGAGUAACGGAGGUGCGCAAAGGUUUCCUCGGCACGGUCAGAAAUCGUGCUAAUGAGUGUAAAGGCAUAAGGAAGCUUAACUGAGAGAGAGACAUCUCGACCAGAUACGAAAGUAGGUCUUAGUGAUCCGGUGGUAGAAAAUGGAAUUGCCAUCGCUCAACGGAUAAAAGUUACCCUGGGGAUAACAGGCUUAUCUCCCCCAAGAGUUCACAUCGACGGGGAGGUU